UUUGUUACUUUUAAGGGCGCACGGUGGAUGCCUUGGCACAAUGAGCCGAUGAAGGACGUGUAAGGCCACGAUAGGCCUCGGGGAGUUGCCAAUAGAGCGUUGAUCCGAGGGUGUCCGAAUGGGGAAACCUGGCCACGGUUAUGUGUGGUCGCCCACUGCUGAAUGCAUAGGUGGUGUGGUGGUAACGCGGGGAAGUGAAACAUCUCAGUACCCGCAGGAGAAGAAAAUAAUAAUGAUUCUGCUAGUAGCGGCGAGCGAACGUGGAUGAUGGCUAAACCAUAUGCGUGUGAUACCUGGCAGGGGUUGCGUGUGUGGGGUUGUGGGAUUUUGUUGUGGGCUGCUGCCAUGGCCCGCGUGUGUGUUGUGUGUUAGCGGAAGUGGUUUGGAAUGGCCUGCCGUAGACGGUGAGAGUCCGGUACGUGAAAGCAUGCAAUGUGUGCGUUGACAAUUUUUCCCGAGUAGCAGCGGGCUCGUGGAAUCUGCUGUGAAUCUGCCGGGACCACUCGGUAAGCCUGAAUACUUGUUGUGACCGAUAGUGUAUUGAGUACCGUGAGGGAAUGGUGAAAAGUACCCCGUGAGGGGAGUGAAAUAGUACCUGAAACCGUGUGCUUACAAUCCGUCAGAGCCCUUU
rnacentral:rRNA from 1 species